GGCGCUAUAGCCAAGUGGUUACGGCGACAGAUUAGAAUCAUCUGGCUCACAGUACGUUUCAUCUGUUCCUCUUUGAGGGCGCAGGUUCAAAUCCUGCUGGCGUCG